rnacentral:tRNA from 1 species
GCGCCCGUAGCUCAUCGGAUAGAGCAGGGGUUUUCUAAACCCUUGGUAGCAGGUUCGAUUCCUGCCGGGCGCACCA